rnacentral:rRNA from 1 species
GCCCAGACUCCUACGGGAGGCAGCAGUGGGGAAUAUUGCACAAUGGGGGGAACCCUGAUGCAGCGACGCCGCGUGGGUGAAGGAGCACCUCGGUGCGUAAAGCCCUAUCGGCAGGGAAGAAACAGACGGUACCUGACUAAGAAGCCCCGGCUAACUACGUGCCAGCAGCCGCGGUAAUACGUAGGGGGCAAGCGUUAUCCGGAUUCACUGGGUGUAAAGGGAGCGUAGACGGCGACGCAAGUCUGGAGUGAAAGCCCGGGGCCCAACCCCGGGACUGCUCUGGAAACUGCCUGACUGGAGUGCUGGAGAGGCAAGCGGAAUUCCUAGUGUAGCGGUGAAAUGCGUAGAUAUUAGGAAGAACACCAGUGGCGAAGGCGGCGUGCUGGACAGUAACUGACGUUGAGGCUCGAAAGCGUGGGGAGCAAACAGGAUUAGAUACCCCCGUAACC